GACGAACGCUGGCGGCGUGCUUAACACAUGCAAGUCGAACGGAAAGGCCCUGCUUUUGUGGGGUGCUCGAGUGGCGAACGGGUGAGUAACACGUGAGUAACCUGCCCUUGACUUUGGGAUAACUUCAGGAAACUGGGGCUAAUACCGGAUAGGAGCUCCUGCUGCAUGGUGGGGGUUGGAAAGUUUCGGCGGUAGGGGAUGGAUUCGCGGCUUAUCAGCUUGUUGGUGGGGUAGUGGCUUACCAAGGCUUUGACGGGUAGCCGGCCUGAGAGGGUGACCAGGCACAUUGGGACUGAGAUACGCCCCAGACUCCUACAGGAGGCAGCAGUGGGGAAUAUUGCACAAUGGGCGGAAGCCUGAUGCAGCAACGCCGCGUGCGGGAUGACGGCCUUCGGGUUGUAAACCGCUUUCGCCUGUGACGAAGCGUGUGUGACGGUAAUGGGUAAAGAAGCACCGGCUAACUACGUG
rnacentral:rRNA from 1 species